CAGAACAUUUUAAUUGGAGUGUCAAUUUAAUUUUAGAGGUUUCAUCUGAACUUGUAACAUUCUCUUAUGGUGAAAUUUGUUUUUCAGACGUAGAGUUGAAGAACUACAAAGAAUCAACGGAAAAUACAUUGGAUGCAGACUUCACUGAGACAUCAACUACAGCUCGUGAUGUGUUAUUUGAAAGUCGUAAAGAGAAGCUAUUACUGAAUAUAUCUUCAGUGAUUUUGCUGUUGGUUCUGCUUUUCUUAUGGGUAUGGUACCGGUGAACAUCUGUGCUUCUUAUAUGCACUGACAGUGGCGUACCAAACGAUACCAUUUUCACUGAUACAUACAUGUCAGAUUCUGUAAAAGCUUACACUUGUAUUUUAUAGCUUUUAGCUAUGAGCUUUACUCACUUUAGCAGCUAAUAACAGGAAUUAUAUCUCAUUUGUGUCGGUUUUCUUUGAUCGUCCGAGGUUUAUAACUAGCUUAUAUACCUUGAAUAAAUGAUUAGAUUAAACUUGUAGACAAAAUGCGAGAAUUUUUCAUUAAAAAAUUUUGAAAUGACAAAAUAUGUUGGAAAACCUCCGCAAAUGAGAUAUAAGUUAGUUAUAAACCUCGAAAGUCGGUCUGAUAUAUUGCCCUCGGACGCUACGCGUCCUCGGGGUCAAUAGGGAGCUUAUGCACGCAGGACGGCAACACGACGACGACGGCAACCAAUACAAUCAGUCAAUGAAAAGAAAUAACUAAAGUCCCAGGGGAGUUUCAGACAUGGUCGUCGCUCUGUUUACAACCGCAAAUUACAGAUUUUUACGUCUUUUUUACAACGCCUGCAUUUCAAGCCGUAACAAGUGCAACUUAAAAUUCGGUUCAGUAGACCUCUUCCCAAACAUAAAGCCAAUGUUUUCAACUUCUUAUACUGUAUUAAAUUCAUAGGAAUUAUAAUAUACGACAAUUUGUCUUUACUCUCAUUUAUUUGAAGGAAUUUGCUUUGGCCGUCGUCGUCGUAUUGCCGUCCUACAUGCUUAAGCUCCCUAAUAUAUCAGUUAUAAACCUCCUACUCGGUUUAUAACUCUAACUUGCACCAUGUGUACCACAAGCGGCCCAGACGUGUAUUAGUAUGUAGCAAAUAUAUAAUUAUAGGAUAUACUACA